CAACAGUGACUCUCCCAAGGAGAACCUCAAGAACCCUCAAGACUCCGGUGAAACCAGAUUCCAGGCCCAAACCAGUCAUCUGCAUAUUAUGUGCUUGUGCCAAUAAACUUGUUAAACUUUUCA